UCUAUUAUCUAUAUUAAAACAAAACACUUUGGUGCCACCUGGCAUUUGCUUAGGUUGCUUGAUGACACGUGGCAUCUCAUCCUCUCCUCUUUUUUUCCUUUGAGCGGCAAAUAUUUCUUCCUUCCUACGCUCUUUUUGUUUUUGAAACCGCCAGAAUUUUGGAAACUAAUCAAUUCUCUCAAUCAAUUGAAAUCAUUAUCCACCCAAACCCUAAAUCAUUAUUUCAACGGUUUCUCUCUGGCUUCACUCUACAUCCUCUUCAAAUCAAACUUGGAUCCAUGGAUUAUUUUCAAUGAAGAAUCUAACUAAUGUUGUAAGUUAUUAUCAUUCAGAUGAAAUUCAUGGUUGAUAUAGAACUUUGGAUCCCAUAUGCUUUCUAUCCAUAUGUUGUUGUUGAGGAAGAUUCAGGCGCUGGUGUUA
rnacentral:lncRNA from 1 species